rnacentral:lncRNA from 1 species
GGCAAGGCCACUCACGACGGCAACUGCACACUAAGCACGAUCACCUGCAAUUCUUACUCGCCAUGGCGACAAACAACUCUGGAUAAGACUCCAGCAUCUUACUCUCAAGCUCCCACGUCAAGCUUUCACCAGUCGCUCCCGACCAAACGACUCUCACGAGAGGUAUCUCCUUGCCUCUCAACGUCUUCACUUUACGAUCAUCAAUCCU